UGUACUAUUUAGCUGAAAAAUUCAUUGCACUAAUCAGGUUUAGCAGAGAUUACUUGGUAUGUUUAAUUUUAUAAGGAAGGGGAGGGGGCUAAUUCAAAAAACCCUCCUGGUCACGUGAAUAGACCACUGUCUAACGUGCGUCCUACACCUGGCGGGACGAGCACAGGCCUCGGCAGCAGACGGUACCCCCUGACUGGAAGCAACCUUACUCCAAGUGGAAUGAUCCUUGUGGUGUGAGGAUGCUGUGGAAGUGUAAAUCACAGAGUCCAGUUUCUUUCUGAGAAGAAAAGAGGUAGUGGAGUCGGAACCCACCAUAAGCACGAUGGUGAAACGCUGGCCUGCCCUUUUCACUGAAGAU